AGUGCCUGGAGUGUCGCUAGGGAGUGGGUGGCCGCCACCAGUCUAGGGAUGGGGGCUGUGGUUCGCCGGGACACGGGGACCACGGCUCAGACUAGACGGCGGGUACGAGAGCGAGGGAGGCAGGGAGCGUCCCCACGGGUAUCCUGGGGCCCCGGAGGUCGGCGUCCCUGGCACGGGGACUGCUGUGCCCGGCACGGCGGCGGGACCUUCUCGCGGUCUCCGGGGGCCUCCCUCCCCUGCCUUCUUCGUGAAAACAGCCGGCGCGCGGGCUUCCGCCGCCCAGUGCGGGGAGCCCUAAACUCCAGCCUUCUGCUUUGCGCAGGGUGAGGCCGGGCUGCAGGCCCGGGAUGCGGGCGGCGGGAAUCUGCCGGGCAGAGCCCGGCUCACGGUCAGGAGGCGGCAGGCUGAGUCCAAGCGCUGCGCCAGAGGGUGGGGUGGGGCAGGGCGGGCCUGGCUGCGCGCGCGCACACGCGGGCGCCUGGGGUGGGCGCUAAGCCCUGAGCACGUGCGCCCGCGCUCUCGGGCACCCCCGUGCCAUCCUCGCGACCCCCGUCCGGCCUGAGACCGCGUGCCCGAGUCGCCCAGGGUCCCCUUGUCCAGAUGCGACAGGGGCCUCGGCACUCGGCGUAUUUCGGAGGCCUGGGGCGCGGCUUGACCUCCGGGCACCUCUGCCCCUGCGCAGGGCCAGGCGCGACCUUGCGCGGAAAGUGCUGGGCGCCUUGGAGUGCCCUGGAGAAGGCGCGGCUCUGCAUGGAGCCUCGCCGCCUGCCCCUGGCGCUUGUCACUGAAGAAUCAGUUUUUGCUACCGGGCUGUUUGACUUUAGGAAGCCUUUACCUCCUUAAGUUCUGCCCUGUAACCAGGACACAAAGACGGGGUCUCUUCCUCCUCGGUGAAAUCCUAGAUGGGAUUUCCUGCUGCCCGCCCGGACGAUGAGCGGAUCCCCAACAUGGCUCCAAGGCCAGUGUCUCCCGCUCCCGUCCCUCCCACCGCACACAACUGUCUACCCUGUCAUUCAGCCACUGUGAGCCCUGCCUCCCCACGGCCUUUGACAUUCAGUGUGGCCGCCCGCCCUAACCGCCUGAUGCAUGAAAUGUGAGCACGGGAAGUCUGUGUGGCUUCUGGGCCAACAGGAGCCCCCAUCCCUUGGGGACUAUAAGGAAUGGAACCAUGCCCAUCUACCUAGGACAUGCACCCGCCUGGACAUGCACCCGCCUGGACAUGCACCCGCCUAGGACAUGCACCCACCUGGACAUGCACCCGCUUAGGACACAUGGCAUGCAUUUCACUACUGAGAUUUAGAGGGUAUUUUUAUGGCAGCAUAACCUAGGUUACCUGACCAACCAGCCACCGCAGCUCUCCCUGCCUGGCUAGCACAAACGCAUCGGUCUCUAACUUCCAGUGCACAGAGCCGAGUUUUCAGCCCUUGCAGCUGCGAAGCUCUGUUCCCUGCUCUCCCUCAAAGUUGCCAUUCUCCAGCAGGCACGCAGAAGGCAGUGGGUUCAGCACCUGCCUCAGAGGAAGCCCUCGGUGCCCAUCCCAGCAGGAGUGGUGAAGGAGCGUUUGGAAGGGGAGGUACCAAGGCAGGGCAGUGCCUGGAACCCUGCGUACCCGGUGCACACAUCAGACUCCCCAGGGCUCCUCCCAAAACACGCAGCCUCUGAACUUACAUCAUCGCCUCUCCUCCUCUCCCUCUGACCCCUAAAAGUGGCAGAAAAGGAAUAAAAGAUAUAACGUCCCCACCACCACCUAAGAGGGAACAGGAGAAGGGAAGACAUGUUAAUAGACUUCAGACAGCAGGUAGAAAGCUGACUCUGAAGAUUGGAGAGGCUGAGGACCUGCAGGUAACCAGGACCCCAAAAGGCGGGAGAAUGUGAAUACAGCCAGAGCCCAGGACGCCUCCCCGGCCCGGGCAGUUGGGGAUGGACAGUCCUCUGGUCUGAGGGUCCAAAGGGGCUCUUGACCUAGGGAUACCAAGUCCUGCAGAAGACAAGAGUGCAGGGGGGCAGAGGGGUUCAUGGGGACAUCUGCACACUUAACUAGGAGACCCUCCAACCUCACCCUUGCUGUGAGCCUCAAACACCAAGCCAGGCACCUGCCUCUCAGUCAGGAAACAGGAAGGAUCUGUAGGGAAACAGCAGCUCCCAAAAGAAUGCCGGGUCCUAAGAUUUGGCCAGUGCAGAUCAGCCCUGGAGGGGCCUGUGGGCUCAGGGCACAACUCUUGUACUGUCCAGGUGCAACUCUUGUACUGUCCAGCCACGGCUCAGGGUCCAGGCAAACACAAGACUGAGCGUUAAGAGGUGCACAGUGUAGGCAUGAGACAGGAGGGGUCAGGAACUGCUGUCCCCAAGAGGAUGCCAACCCCUGGUGCCUCAUGGGAGGUAGCUCUGAAGUUCUAGGGGGAUGCUGGGAGGGACUGAGGCUGGGACAGAGUCAGCUGUGGAUGGGAAGGGGCAGUGAGGCCAGUAGAGAAUUCCUGAGUUCCCCUGUGUGCCCAUGCUGCCCGGGAACGUCAACUUCAUUAGGGCAGCGAUGGUGUCUGCCCCUUCCAAUGACAGGAGACCAAGUGACAAUGUGACAGAUAAAUGCAUUCAGUGCACUGACGUCUAGCACGCAGGAGCACACAGGAAGGCACAUGGCUGGGCAGCACGUGCAUGAUCGUGGGACCACUUUAGCUUGGGUAGUCCAGCAUGAGUCUCUGAGCAGGUGACCUUGAUGCUGAGGCCGGAGCAUGAACGAGUAGCCCAAGGGAGGCCAGGUGUCCGGGUUCCAACAGCAGGAGCUGGCCCUAAGGUAGAAACCGGCUUGUGCGGGAGGACAGGAGGGUCCAUGCUGCAGGACAGCAAGUGAGUGGCCGUGGCAUGUGCUGAAGGGCUGGGGGUGGUUUGGGGGACAAGGUGCAGUCCCUGACACCAGGCUUCAUGUGCAUUUGUUCAUAAUUCGUCCAUAAAGCCACGCCUCCUGAGGGACAUGCCUUGGACAUGGGUCCUCCGUUGCCACAUAAUUGGCACACAGCUCAGUCACACCGAGAUGUGUGCUUCAUCUUCUGUCAUCAUUAUGAAAUUAACACAUGCUCUGCCCACGCCUUUGUUAAGAGUCCUUUUAUUAAAUCUCCUCAGAUCACACGAUUCGUGUGUGCUGUUUCCUGCUGGAAAACACAUCUCAGAACUGACCCCCAAAACAGGAAAUGGGCUCCCAUGGGACUCCGAUGCUGGUGUCCACCUAUGUGGAGAAUCCACGGACAGCCUCCCUCCUGGGAAAUGGAAGACAGAUGGCCGUGGCGCCCUCAGAUUCAGCCCUGGCGGGGCCUGGGACUGAGGAUUCUUGGAAGGCCAGGGCCUUGGAGCCCACGUGUGGGGACACUUGGUUGCUAUGGUGACAGUAUUGAUUUUAAAGGUCAUGUGGCCACCUGGUGACUCAGGAAGGAGCACAGCGACGGAGAACAUGCAGGACGGGCUGCAGCCACUAGGAAGGAGCCCUCGCCCCCACUGCAGUGCGCCGGGGCCGAGCAUGAGUUCACCGCUCAGCUCUGCUUAAGGACCCACAACCCCAGCCCCUGCUGCCACCAUCAUCACGUUGCCUUUUCAUCUGUCUACUCCGCCCUUUUCUUCCUCUAUAAGGACACUUGUCAUUGGACUUAGGGCCCACCCUACUCCAGGAUGAUAUCAUCUUGAGAUCCUUAACUUAGUUACAUCUGCAAAGAUCCUCUUUCCAGAUAAGGUCACAUUCACAGGGCCGGCACGGACAUGUCCUUUGGUGGCAAAAGGCCACCAUUUAACCCACCACAUCCAUGGGCAGCAUGGAUUCACCACACCCUACAGCCCCAAAGUCCCAACCAUUACAGCAGCAACUCUAAGUCCAAAAUCCCAGCUCAAGAUUUUUUUUGAGACAGAGUCUCACUGUGUUGCCCAGACUGGAGUGCAGUGGUGCUAUCAUGGCUCACUGCAGCCUCGACCUCCCAGGCUCAAGCGAUCCUCCCAUCUCAGGCUCCUGAGUAGCUCGGACCAUAGAUCCAUGACCCCACCCCUGGCUGAUUUUUUGUGCUUUUGGUAGAGACAAGGAUUUCACACUGUGGCCUAGGCUGAUCUCAAACUUUGGGGCUCAAGAAAUCCACCCCACUCAGCCUCCUAAAGUGCUGGGAUUACAGGUAUGAGCCACUGCACCCAGCCUCUCGUCUAAAUAUUUUCAGCUCGAAAGUCUCCAAGACUCAUUGUCUAAAUCAUGCCUGAUUUAGACAAUCAGAAAUGAUGUCCAAGACUCAUUAUCUAAAUCAGGCAUGGGUGAGACCUCAGUUCAAUCCAUUCUGGGCAAAAUUCCCCUUUAUCUGUGUAACUGUGAAACUGGAAAAUAUGCUUCCAAGGUACAGUGAUGAGAUAGGCAUAAGAUAUACAUUCCCAUUUCAAAAGGGAGAAAUAAGAAGGAAUAAAAAGAGUCAUCGGUCCCAAGUAAGUUCAAAUCCAGCAGGGCAAGUUCCAUGAGGUUUCAAGGCCUGGCAAGAAUUCUUGGUGGCUCAAUGCUGCACUACGUAAACUAAAAUUAAAACCAUAAGCCCCCAACCGAUGGGACAGACCCGCUCUUGGCCAAGGAAACUCCAGAAAAACCUUAAAACUGAGUUCCAGGCCAGAUGCAGUGGCUCAUGCCUGUAGUCCCAACACUUUGGGAGGCCGAGGUGGGCGGCUCACUUGAGGUCAGGAGUUCGAGACCAGCCUGGCCAACAUGGCAAAACUCUACCUCUACUAAAAAUACAAAACUUAGCCAGGCGUGGUGGCACACGCCUGUAAUACCAGCUACUCAGGAAGCUGAGGCAUGAGAAUCACCCGAACCUGUGAGGUGGAGAUUGCUGUGAGCCGAGAUCACGCCACUGCACUCCAGCCUGGGCGACAGAGCGAGACUCUGUCUCAAAAAAUAAAAUAAAAUUAAAUUAAAAACCUGAGUUCCUGGCUAUGAUGGUGGGAUGGGAGGUCAGACGGGUCUCCUGAUACCCCCUCCCUUUUACGGUUUAGACACAACAACCAACCAGCUUUAAUGUUAAGCUGGAGACCAUAAGACAAACGGAAUGGCUCUUUGUGGCAAUAAGAUACCAAAUUAUAAACAGGACCUAAGGCCAUGCCGAGUGACGGUUAAGUCACACACUCUACCCUUACAGCAGCUAACAAGCACUGGCCUUGAGAUGAGCAACAUUAAACGCCGUGGCUGUUUACCAUCCACACAGAGGCAGCCUCUAAGGCUAAAAAGGACCCUUCCACACGGGCCACACGACAGACAUUUGCCAAGCACCUGCUCCAUGCUAGGCACUGCAGCAGACACUGCUGACAUAGUGAAUGGUCAGAUGGAGCGUGCACCCCUCUCAGCGAGGGAGACGGGAACCCAGUGGAUAGCAGGCAAAGAGGGGAUGCACAGAGGGCUGCGAGAGCAGGAGUGGAUGCCAGUCCUGACAGAGCAUGAGGGACACCCCCUCGAGGCAGCCCACAGCAGAGCUGACACCUGACAGAUGGGCAGACGUCAGCCAAAGGGGAGCAGGAGAGCAGCCCUCCGGGCAGAACAUGGGUAGCGUCCAAGAGGUGAGCAAGAAUGUGAUGCUUUAGAAGAAAGGAAUGAAUGAAAGGCCAGGCUGGUUAAGCUGGAGAGAUUGAGGCAGGGAGUGGCAAGAGACGAAGGCUAAGGAGAUGACAAGGACCAGGUCAAGAGGCCUCAUGAGCUCCGUGGAAGGUGCUAGCUCUGGCUUCCUGAAAGGCUGCUGAAAUGGGGGUUGUUUAAGACCCAUGCAGUGAACUUUGGCCAAUGGAAAACCACUGCUGGGAGGAUAAGCCACCUCUCCUUCCUCUUUCCCACAAGAGUUCGCAGGCAGAGUCUCUCUCCUGCCCAUGUGAAGGCAUCCUACCUGGCCAAGCAGGGCAUCCAUGGAGCAGCAGCCUCUGUCAGAACUCAGCCAGCCAUAAGCCCUCGGCCAGCACCGCGAUGCACCACCUUACCUGGGCCCCGCCCUUCUCUGCCCCUCUGCCCUUCUGCAUCUAUAUAAAGGAGGGGCAAAUCAAUUUCAUGUUGAAAGACAAUUCAUCGCUCAUAGCAGAACUAAUAACACUCUGCCUGAUAGCAUGUGCAGAUGUAAAACUGCACAACUUACAAAGGGCAAAGAGAUGAUGACACUGCUGAGCUUUUCUGACAUUCCCUGGAAGUGGUGUUUUACAGCUCAGGUUUGACUGUGACAGACUGAGGGUGGCUAUCGUGAUCCACAGCAAUGCCUUUAAAAAGUGGCCCAGCUAACGAGCCAACAGAGGAGAUACAAUGUAACUAAAAUCACCAGGAGAAGAUGAAAACAACCCAUGGGACACAAGGAAAAUAAAGAGCAGAGUGGUAGAGUUCAUCAUUACAGUAAACGUAAAUGGACUACGCACUUCAAUUAGAAGAUAGAGACCAUCAGACUGGAUACAAAUGCAAGACCCUAAUAUGUAUAUGCUGAUUCUAAAAGCUGCAUCUUAAAUAUAAAGAUGAAUUAUAACCUAAACACUAAAAAAGAAUUUAAAAGUAAAAAGAUGGAAAAAAGAUAUACCAUGCAAAUAAUAAUCAUAAGAAAGGUGAUGUAGCUAUAUUUAUAUCAGAUAACGUAGACUUCAAGACAAAGAAUAUUAUUAGAGAUAAAAAGGAACAUUUCAAAUGAUAAAAGGAUCAAUUAUUUAAGAAUACCUAACAUGCAGCCAUAAAAAAGAUUGAGUUUGGCCAGGCGCAGUGGCUCAUGCCUGUAAUCCCAGCACUUUGGGAGGCCGAGGCAGGCAGAUCCUGAGUUCAGGAGUUCAAGACCAGCCUGACCAACACGGAGAAACCCCAUCUCUACUAAAAAUCCAAAAUUAGCCAGGCGUGGUGGCGCAUGUCUGUAAUCCCAGCUACUUGGGAGGCUGAGACAGGAGAAUCAUUCGAACCUAAGAGGCGGAAGUUGCGGUGAGCAGAGAUUGCACCAUUGCAUUCCAGCCUGGGCAACAAGAGCGAAAUUCCAUCUCAAAAAAAAAAGAAUAAGUUCAUGUCCUUUGCAGGGACAUGGAUGAAGCUGGAAUCCAUCAUUCUCAGCAAACUAACACAGGAACAGAAAACCAAACACCACAUGUUCUCAUUCAUAAGUGGAAGCUGAACAAUGAGAACACAUGGACACAGGGAGGGGAACAUCACACACUAAGGCCUGCUGGGGGUUUGGGGGCAAGGGGAGGGACAGCAUUAGGACAAAUACCUAAUGCAUGUGGGGCUUAAAACCUAGAUGAUGGGUUGAUAGGUGCAGCAAACCAGCAUGGCACAUGUAUAGCUAUGUAACAAACCUGCACAUUCUACACAUGUAUCCCAGAACUUAAAAGUAAAAUAAAUAAAUAGAUAGCACAAAAAAAGAAUACCUAACAAUCCCAAAUAUGUAUGCGCCUAAUAAGAAGACUUCAAACUAUAUAAAGCAAAACUUGACAACCGGAGAGAAAAAUAGACAAACGCACAGUCAUAGUAGUAGAGCUUAACACUUCCAUCUCAGGAAUUGCUAGAACAGGUACACACAUACGCAAUUACUAAGGAUAUAGAAGUUUGGGCAACACUCUUAAGCAAGUUGACCUGAUCGACAUCUAUAGAACACAAUAACCAAUAACUGCAUAUUACACAUUAUUUUCAAGUGUGCAAGAAAUAUUAAAUAGGAUGUCAUAUCCUGAAACAAAAUGAAAAUUUUCAAUAAAUCUCAAAGGAUUGAAAUAAUAUAUAAUGUGUUAUCUGAACACAAUGAAAUUA
rnacentral:lncRNA from 1 species